AAUUGGUUUCUUUCCGAUUUGAAUUUAAAUAAAAUUAGAGUAUAUAGUUGGAUUAUCUUAGAUAGUAGGUUUUUGGAGGUUGCAAAUAUAUAUUAUGUUGUGGUGAAAGAAACAAAGGAGAUAGCCUUUUGUGUCAUGUUCUGGCCGAAUUUGUCAACUCCAGUUUAACCAAGUAAACGAUCUCUUUUUCUUGCGAAAUUUUAACUGAACAUACUUAUAGGUGUCUUCUGCUAUGUGGCCAAAUUUCAGCUUCAUCCGAAUUGAAAUGAAUUUAUAAUGAAUUUUGAAAGGGGACUGCGCAGUUCAGCUAGGUUUGGAUAUUUUUUUUUUGCUGUUUUCAGCUGCUGGUUUUGAAGUUUUCGACACCCUUAGGGUGUUGCAAAUUGUAUUUUCAAAUUUUCUGUAUGAACCUUGAUGUGUUGGAGAGCUCUCUGUAAAAUUUCAACUGAUUUGAAUGUCAUUUACUAUUUUUAGAAAAUCUCCAAACACAGCUGCUAGAACCUGUCGGGUAGUGAUAGACAGUGGGAAAAUGGCCAUAUCUCCCAACCUACUUGGAAAUUUUGAGAGAACUUUGUUUUAAAAUUUAACUAGACACCAAGGGGAUUCUUUUGGUAUAGGGCUUGACCUCUUAUACUCCGUGCAAAAGAAGUAACUAAAGAGAACUUGUUUAUUGCUUAAGCUAUUUUUUGGUGUUGUGUUGAUAAGAAUUAUUUAUUGAAAGGUAAUCCUGGCCUGAGGGAUAGCACGGGCAAGGAGAAGGCGAAUGAGUAAAGUGAUCUAGUACGGCAUUUUGGAUUUUAAGAUUAGGUGAUCAGACUAGCUCUUUUGCUGUACAGCUGCUCAAGUCGGGUCACUAGCCAAGCUUUUGCGUUGGGUAAAUCUUUUGGAUUUGAUAAAUGUGGCAUGUAGUAGGAGUGUAAUGUACCUUGGACGUUAUAUUACUUCAUAAACUUUUGCUAAGCAUGUAUAUUUUGUGA